rnacentral:rRNA from 1 species
AUUGAACGCUGGCGGCAGGCCUAACACAUGCAAGUCGAGCGAGCGGCGGACGGGUGAGUAAUGUCUGGGAAAAUGCCUGAUGGAGGGGGAUAACUACUGGAAACGGUAGCUAAUAACGCAUACCAUCAGCUUUGCCCAGACGGGAUUAGCUAGUAGGUGGGGUAACGGCUCACCUAGGCGACGAUCCCUACCUGGUCUGAGAGGAUGAUCAGCCACACGGGAACGGAGACACGGUCCAGACUCCUACGGGAGGCAGCAGUGGGGAAUAUUGGACAAGGGGCGAAAGCCUGAGGCAGCAAUGCGGCGUGGGUGAAGAAGGCCUUCGGGUUGAAAAACACUUUCAGCAGGGAGGCGUUACCCGAAGAGGAAGCACCGGCUAACUCCGUGCCAGCAGCCGCGGUAAUAC